GUGCCAGCAGCCGCGGUAAUACGUAGGGUGCAAGCGUUGUCCGGAAUUACUGGGCGUAAAGAGUUCGUAGGCGGUUUGUCGCGUCGUUUGUGAAAACCAGCAGCUCAACUGCUGGCUUGCAGGCGAUACGGGCAGACUUGAGUACUGCAGGGGAGACUGGAAUUCCUGGUGUAGCGGUGAAAUGCGCAGAUAUCAGGAGGAACACCGGUGGCGAAGGCGGGUCUCUGGGCAGUAACUGACGCUGAGGAACGAAAGCGUGGGUAGCGAACAGGAUUAGAUACCCUGGUAGUCCACGCCGUAAACGGUGGGCGCUAGGUGUGGGUUCCUUCCACGGAAUCCGUGCCGUAGCUAACGCAUUAAGCGCCCCGCCUGGGGAGUACGGCCGCAAGGCUAAAACUCAAAGGAAUUGACGG
rnacentral:rRNA from 1 species